GAUGAACGCUGGCGGCGUGCCUAAUACAUGCAAGUCGAGCGAACAGACGAGGAGCUUGCUCCUCUGACGUUAGCGGCGGACGGGUGAGUAACACGUGGAUAACCUACCUAUAAGACUGGGAUAACUUCGGGACACCGGCGCUAAUACCGGAUAAUAUAUUGAACCGCAUGGUUCAAUAGUGAAAGACGGUUUUGCUGUCACUUAUAGAUGGAUCCGCGCCGCAUUAGCUAGUUGGUAAGGUAACGGCUUACCAAGGAGACGAUGCGUAGCCGACCGGGGAGGGGGAUCGGCCACACGGGAACUGAGACACGGUCCAGACUCCUACGGGAGGCAGCAGUAGGGAAUCUUCCGCAAUGGGCGAAAGCCGGACGGAGCGACGCCGCGUGAGUGAUGAAGGUCUUCGGAUCGUAAAACUCUGUUAUUAGGGAAGAACAAAUGUGUAAGUAACUAGGCACGUCUUGACGGUACCUAAUCAGAAAGCCACGGCUAACUACGUG
rnacentral:rRNA from 1 species